rnacentral:rRNA from 1 species
AACGAACGCUGGCGGCAGGCCUAACACAUGCAAGUCGAGCGAAGCCUUCGGGCUUAGCGGCGGACGGGUGAGUAACGCGUGGGAACGUGCCCUUUGCUACGGAAUAGCCCCGGGAAACUGGGAGUAAUACCGUAUGUGCCCUUCGGGGGAAAGAUUUAUCGGCAAAGGAUCGGCCCGCGUUGGAUUAGGUAGUUGGUGGGGUAAUGGCCUACCAAGCCGACGAUCCAUAGCUGGUUUGAGAGGAUGAUCAGCCACACUGGGACUGAGACACGGCCCAGACUCCUACGGGAGGCAGCAGUGGGGAAUCUUAGACAAUGGGCGGAAGCCUGAUCUAGCCAUGCCGCGUGAUCGAUGAAGGCCUUAGGGUUGUAAAGAUCUUUCAGGUGGGAAGAUAAUGACUGUACCACCAGAAGAAGCCCCGGCUAACUCCGUGCCAGCAGCCGCCGUAAAAC